CCCCACUAUGCCUAAUCGUAAACUUUUACUUACAUUAAAUCGCCAGGGAACUACGAGGUAAGCUUAAAACCCAAAGGACUUGACGGUACCCCAUAUCCCCCUAGAGGAGCCUGUCCUAUAAUCGAUAAUCCACGUUUAACCUCACCAUUUUUUGUUAAUCAGCCUGUAUACCUCCGUCGCCAGCUUACCACGUGAGCGAUUUUUAGUGAGCUUAAUGUUUUUACACCAACACGUCAGGUCAAGGUGCAGUAAAUGAAAUGGGAAGAGAUGGGCUACACUUUCUAUUCUAGAAGAAACGAAAAACUAUUUAUGAAAAUCUAGUUGGAAGGCGGAUUUAGCAGUAAAAAGAAAUCAACAUGUUCAUUUUAACCCGGCACUGGGGUGUGU
rnacentral:rRNA from 1 species